GCACGUAAUUAUAAGCACGAAAGAAGGGCAAAAAUGCAUUGGGUGACGGUUGAGGGCCCCAAGACAACCAACUUAGAUUCCGCGGCUUCACCUCCAAAUUUAAUUUUUCAUUUAUUUAUUUGGUAUUUAUUCAACACAUCAGUAUGCAAUGCAUUUGUUAUGCAAAUUAAGAAGUAGAGACUACAAAUAAAAGGAGGUGUGUCGUCUUCAUUAUUAUAUCCAAAAUCAAAAGCAAAGCACAUUCUGCAUUUUGAUGAUAUUUUAAAGCAGGUAAAGAGAGAUGAGUGGAAUGGUGGUGCAAAAGGAUUGAUGAGAUCAGAACCGCUUCCCGCUGAGGGCCAGAUUUGAGUGUACGCUGGGAAAGACGACAUCCGCUGCAAGUUGGAGAUGGAAGCUAAUUUCCUCAACCAUCCACUCUUCGAGGACUUGCACAGCAGUUUGCUUACUCUUACGACGGAGCACUGAGAAUUGCUUGCGACGUCCAUCUCUUUCGCUACCUUCUUCACCUUCUUAAGACCGGGUUGCUCCUUUUGUGAUUGUACAGAUCUCAGUUUUUUGUUACCUUUAUUAAUUGUAUUAUCCAUAAAAUGUAAAAAUUAUUGAUUGUGAAUGCGAGGGUGCAGUGUAAUACUAUAUAACUAAUUGAAGUUGAAAUGAUUAGA